CAGCCGCCGCGGUAAUACGAAGGGUGCAAGCGUUAAUCGGAAUUACUGGGCGUAAAGCGUGCGUAGGCGGUGAGUUAAGUCUGCUGUGAAAUCCCCGGGCUCAACCCGGGAAUGGCAGUGGAUACUGGCUCGCUAGAGUGUGUCAGAGGAUGGUGGAAUUCCCGGUGUAGCGGUGAAAUGCGUAGAGAUCGGGAGGAACAUCAGUGGCGAAGGCGGCCAUCUGGGACAACACUGACGCUGAGGCACGAAAGCGUGGGGAGCAAACAGGAUUAGAUACCCCAGUAGUCCCUGUCUCUUAUAC
rnacentral:rRNA from 1 species